GGAGAUGUAGCUCAGUGGUAGAGCACUUGCCUAGCACCCAAGAAGUUCUGGGUUCAAUCCCCUGUCCU
rnacentral:tRNA from 1 species